UUAGUGGUUAAAGAUAACGAAAAUAUUUAAAAGGAAUUAAUGUAUCAAUAUUUUAUAAUUCUUGACUUUAACUCCUAUCAAAAGAUCUA
rnacentral:misc_RNA from 1 species